rnacentral:tRNA from 1 species
UCAAAGAAUAGUUUAAAAUAAAAAUAAUAAUUUUGGAGAUUAUAGAUAAAGGAAAUCUUUUUUUUUGA